AAAAAAGGUAAGCUACUAAGAGCGAAUGGUGGAUGCCUUGACUGGUAAAGGCGAUGAAGGACGUACUAGACUGCGAUAAGCUACGGGGAGCUGUCAAGAAGCUUUGAUCCGUAGAUUUCCGAAUGGGGCAACCCAAUGUAUAGAGAUAUACAUUACCUAUAUAGGAGCGAACGAGGGGAAUUGAAACAUCUUAGUACCCUCAGGAAAAGAAAUCAAUAGAGAUUGCGUCAGUAGCGGCGAGCGAAAGCGCAAGAGGGCAAACCCAGUGCUUGCACUGGGGGUUGUAGGACUGCAAUGUGCAAGAGGUGAGUUUAGCAGAACAUUCUGGAAAGUAUAGCCAUAGAGGGUGAUAGUCCCGUAUGCGAAAAACAAACCUUAGCUAGCAGUAUCCUGAGUAGGGCGGGACACGAGAAAUCCUGUCUGAAGCUGGGUCGACCACGAUCCAACCCUAAAUACUAAUACCAGAUCGAUAGUGCACAAGUACCGUGAGGGAAAGGUGAAAAGAACUGAGGUGAUCAGAGUGAAAUAGAACCUGAAACCAUUUGCUUACAAUCAUUCAGAGCCCUAUGUAGCAAUACAGGGUGAUGGACUGCCUUUUGCAUAAUGAGCCUGCGAGUUGUGGUGUCUGGCAAGGUUAAGCAAACGCGAAGCCGUAGCGAAAGCGAGUCUGAAUAGGGCGCUUAGUCAGAUGCUGCAGACCCGAAACGAAGUGAUCUAUCCAUGAGCAAGUUGAAGCUAGUGUAAGAACUAGUGGAGGACUGAACCCAUAGGCGUUGAAAAGCCCCGGGAUGACUUGUGGAUAGGGGUGAAAGGCCAAUCAAACUUCGUGAUAGCUGGUUCUCUCCGAAAUAUAUUUAGGUAUAGCGUUGUGUCGUAAUAUAAGGGGGUAGAGCACUGAAUGGGCUAGGGCAUACACCAAUGUACCAAACCCUAUCAAACUCCGAAUACCUUAUAUGUAAUCACAGCAGUCAGGCGGCGAGUGAUAAAAUCCGUCGUCAAGAGGGAAACAACCCAGACUACCAGCUAAGGUCCCUAAAUCUUACUUAAGUGGAAAACGAUGUGAAGUUACUUAAACAACCAGGAGGUUGGCUUAGAAGCAGCCAUCCUUUAAAGAAAGCGUAAUAGCUCACUGGUCUAGUGAUUUUGCGCGGAAAAUAUAACGGGGCUAAAGUAAGUACCGAAGCUGUAGACUUGAUUUUAUCAAGUGGUAGGAGAGCGUUCUAUUUGCGCCGAAGGUAUACCGGUAAGGAGUGCUGGAGCGAAUAGAAGUGAGCAUGCAGGCAUGAGUAGCGAUAAUUAAUGUGAGAAUCAUUAACGCCGUAAACCCAAGGUUUCCUACGCGAUGCUCGUCAUCGUAGGGUUAGUCGGGUCCUAAGUCGAGUCCGAAAGGGGUAGACGAUGGCAAAUUGGUUAAUAUUCCAAUACCAACAUUAGUGUGCGAUGGAAGGACGCUUAGGGCUAAGGGGGCUAGCGGAUGGAAGUGCUAGUCUAAGGUCGUAGGAGGUUAUACAGGCAAAUCCGUAUAACAAUACUCCGAGAACUGAAAGGCUUUUUGAAGUCUUCGGAUGGAUAGAAGAACCCCUGAUGCCAUCGAGCCAAGAAAAGUUUCUAAGUUUAGCUAAUGUUGCCCGUACCGUAAACCGACACAGGUGGGUGGGAUGAGUAUUCUAAGGCGCGUGGAAGAACUCUCUUUAAGGAACUCUGCAAAAUAGCACCGUAUCUUCGGUAUAAGGUGUGGUUCGCUUCGUAUUAGGAUUUACUCCGAAAGCGAAGAAACUUACAACAAAGAGUCCCUCCCGACUGUUUACCAAAAACACAGCACUCUGCUAACUCGUAAGAGGAUGUAUAGGGUGUGACGCCUGCCCGGUGCUCGAAGGUUAAUUGAUGGGGUUAGCAUUAGCGAAGCUCUUGAUCGAAGCCCGAGUAAACGGCGGCCGUAACUAUAACGGUCCUAAGGUAGCGAAAUUCCUUGUCGGUUAAAUACCGACCUGCAUGAAUGGCGUAACGAGAUGGGAGCUGUCUCAAAGAGGGAUCCAGUGAAAUUGUAGUGGAGGUGAAAAUUCCUCCUACCCGCGGCAAGACGGAAAGACCCCGUGGACCUUUACUACAGCUUGACACUGCUAUUUGGAUAAGAAUGUGCAGGAUAGGUGGGAGGCUUUGAGUAUAUGACGCCAGUUGUAUAUGAGCCAUUGUUGAGAUACCACUCUUUCUUAUUUGGGUAGCUAACCAGCUUGAGUUAUCCUCAAGUGGGACAAUGUCUGGUGGGUAGUUUGACUGGGGCGGUCGCCUCCCAAAUAAUAACGGAGGCUUACAAAGGUUGGCUCAGAACGGUUGGAAAUCGUUCGUAGAGUAUAAAGGUAUAAGCCAGCUUAACUGCAAGACAUACAAGUCAAGCAGAGACGAAAGUCGGUCUUAGUGAUCCGGUGGUUCUGUGUGGAAGGGCCAUCGCUCAAAGGAUAAAAGGUACCCCGGGGAUAACAGGCUGAUCUCCCCCAAGAGCUCACAUCGACGGGGAGGUUUGGCACCUCGAUGUCGGCUCAUCGCAUCCUGGGGCUGGAGCAGGUCCCAAGGGUAUGGCUGUUCGCCAUUUAAAGCGGUACGCGAGCUGGGUUCAGAACGUCGUGAGACAGUUCGGUCCCUAUCUGCCGUGGGCGUAAGAAGAUUGAAGAGAUUUGACCCUAGUACGAGAGGACCGGGUUGAACAAACCACUGGUGUAGCUGUUGUUCUGCCAAGAGCAUCGCAGCGUAGCUAAGUUUGGAAAGGAUAAACGCUGAAAGCAUCUAAGCGUGAAGCCAACUCUAAGAUGAAUCUUCUCUAAGCUCUCUAGAAGACUACUAGUUUGAUAGGCUGGGUGUGUAAUGGAUGAAAGUCCUUUAGCUGACCAGUACUAAUAGAGCGUUUGGCUUAUCUUUAAUAAAGCAU
rnacentral:rRNA from 1 species